UCCCCGGUGGCGCAGUUGGCAGCGCGUUAUCCAGAAAAAUAAUGGUCGGAGGUUCGAAUCCUCCCCGGGGAA